AGCACCUAUAAAUAUGAUGUGAGAGAAUCUAGAACGGUAUUAGCCUCAUUAGUCGUUACUGUACUUGAACCUGUUCAGUAAUACUAAUUUUCGAUCAUUUUAAACUAAGUAUACGUUCAACUAUUUUGAAAUCAUGAAGCCGAUUGUUGCUAUUUAUUUAGCCCUUGUGGUUCUCUGCGUAGCUAUAAAUUUCGUAGAUUCUACAGUUUGCGCGAGAGAAACUAGUACUGGUAAAGACAAACCAUUCGAUAACGACGCUGCGUUGGAAGCUGCAAACCGUCCAGUUAAAAAAUAUGAGUUCAAGAAAAAUGGACCUUGCCCUUGAAAACCAUCCAAUUGUGUUAUCAGUUAUCCUUAUCAGCAAGUAUAAAAUAAAAAAUAUGAAAAAUGUGUAGAUUAAAUAACUAAAUGAAUAGAAACUAUUUAGUAUGCACUUAAAAUACAAAUAAUAAUAAAUUCAAUUUUUCAAUUAA